rnacentral:rRNA from 1 species
CCCGGCGCCACGAGUGGCAAUCUUAUAUUGGGCCUAAAGCAUUCGUAGCCGGAUUAAUAAAUCUCUUGUGAAAUUGUCGAACUCAAUACGACAGCGUGCAGGGGACACUAUUAGUCUAGAGACUGGGAGGAGUUGGGAGUAUGCCUAGGGGAGCGGUUAAAUGUGGUAAUCCUAGGUAGACUACCUGUGGCGAAGGCGCCCAACUAGAACAGUUCUGACGGUGAGGGAUGAAAGCUAGGGGAGCGAUCCGGA